AUAUAAUAACUCUCAGCUCCUUCUCCAGCACCAUGUCUGCCUGCAGGCUGCCGUGUCCCACCAUGAUGAUAGCGGACUGAACCUCUGAACUGUAAGUGAGCCACCACAACCAAAUGUUUUCCUUUCAGAGAAUUGCUGUGAUCAUUGCUGUGUCUUCACAGCAAUAGAAACUGUAACUAAGACAGAAGUGAAGGACCUGUUGCACUUUGCAGGUUGUCCUAGUCCAUCACUGGGAGAAGCCGGGUCAGACACUCAAGGCAGGAUCCUGGAAGCAGGAACUGACGGAGAGGCCAUGAAGGAAUGCUACUUACUGGUUAGCUUCCAGGCUCCUGUCAGUUUAGCUACAAUUAAUACACCUCCCAGGACACCUGCCCAUGGGCAGCAGGAUCCUCAGAGUGCUGGCCCCUUCUACAUCAAUCUUCAAUCAAGACAGUGCUCCCAGCUAACUCUUGUUUCUGUUAAGUUGACCAAAACUAACCAUCACCGUAGGAUGCUCUGAGCUGCAGUGAUGGGGAUGUCAUGGUGAUGAAGAAGAGGAAGAAGGAGAAGGGGAGAGGAAGGAGAAGGAGAAGGAGAAGAAGAAGAAGAAGAAGAAGAAGAAGAAGAAGAAGAAGAAGAAGAAGAAGAAGAAGAAGAAAUAAUUAGCUAAACUGUUUUAAAAAUAGUCUGUUACCUCUCUAGCAACAAGAGGCACCAAAGUAAUGUAACUCAAGGACUUGUGUUAAAGUCAUCAAAGCCAAGUUUCUUUCUGUCCUCAGUGCAUUAUCUUAGUCUGUACACCAGUUCUCCUCUGAGACACAAGAUGGCUACAGAAGGUCCAGAUCUCACAUCAUUACCGCUAUGGUCGAUACCAGAAAAGGGCUCUUUUUUUUUUUUUUCAUUCUGCUUUCCUAUUUUUGUCAUAGAAUCAAAAAAUAAAGAAAAGAAAAUCCUCUUUCCUUAAAAUCUGUCCCCUGAGCCCUUCCCUUGCAUGUCUUCCGCUUCCAUGGAUCUGACAUUCACAUCUAACCCUGUCACUGGCUAGAAAAGGGGCCACCAUUUCCACAGAAGCUGAAUCUGGGUCCUCUCCAAAACUGGGUAGACCAGUCUCCCCUGAAAUGUGUGACUGAGUAAUGAAAGACGGAGGUUAUCAAAAUAACUUCAAGAGAGGCAGUUGACCAUGGUAGGGUCAACAUUUUGUGAAAAUCGAAAACAGUGGAUUCAUUCUUUGGGGAAAAAUUGUGAAAUACCAAAGUAAGUACAAGGCAAAUAAAAUGGAUUAACACA